AGACAUUCUAUUUCUUUCUUAAUAAGGCCAUCAACUUUCAAAUCAACAAGGUGUGGUCUGGCGUUAUCAUUCAAAGAAUAAAUGCCAGCAACUCCCCUUCGUUUUUUUAAAUACUGAAAGACUUGAAGGAAUAAGGAAAUCUGGAACAUAGUUCUGGCUUCACUAGUUCCUCACUGUGCCAUUUUGGGCAGGUUACUUUGGUCUCUGUUUCCUCAUCUGUGUAAUGAAGCUGUUGUAAGUAACACUUCCAGCUCAAGAUUUUAUGUUUUUAGGUCUGAUAUCUAAAAAAAAAAAAAUUCACAGUACUAGAAGUACAUGAAUAGGUGUGCAUGCAACACCUCCCAUUGCAAACAUCAACCUGCUAUGAGAAUGUCCUUGGAUCAUUUGGGAUGUCACCUUCUGUUCCAUGUGAGAAUGUUUUCCUGCUGGGCUUUACUCUCUGAUUGUAAAGACUGGGAUCCUGUGAAUGUUGGCUCUUUAUGUGGCUGGGAAAGGGCUUCUUAUUGACUGCAGAAUAUGAAGUUAUUGAUCAGGGAGAGACGCCAUGUAGCUGUAAGUAAGUGUACUGUUGAAUGUGUUUAUGAUGGCCAACUCUGAUAUUAAAUCAUUCUGAGGUCAAAGUUUUGUUGAGAGGAAAAAUAAUUAUGUAAUACAUAUAUUACACCUAUGUAUGUAAUACUUAUUACAUAUAUGUAAUAUAAUGCAUUACAUAUAUAAAUAUACAUAUAUACAUAUACAGCUGUGUACAUAUAUACAUGUGUAAUAAUGUAUCUCAAUGUAGCUUAGUACAUAAUAAUUGCUUAGCUGUAUAUAUACAGCUGAGUAAAAAAAUUGCAGCAUCUCCAUAUUGUUAUAGAUUUUGGCAACAGUUUUUGAUCUAACAUUUUUGGCAUUUAAAAAUACAUUUAAAUCAUAUGACAAUACAUUGAAUAUGGUAGCAGGUAGAAUAAGGCUGAUAACA
rnacentral:lncRNA from 1 species